GAUGAACGCUGGCGGCGUGCCUAAUACAUGCAAGUCGAGCGAACAGAUGAGGAGCUUGCUCCUCUGACGUUAGCGGCGGACGGGUGAGUACACGUGGAUAACCUACCUAUAAGACUGGGAUAACUUCGGGAAACCGGAGCUAAUACCGGAUAAUAUAUUGAACCGCAUGGUUCAAUAGUGAAAGACGGUUUUGCUGUCACUUAUAGAUGGAUCCGCGCCGCAUUAGCUAGUUGGUAAGGUAACGGCUUACCAAGGCAACGAUGCGUAGCCGACCUGAGAGGGGGAUCGGCCACCUUGGAACUUGGCCGCCGUCCAGACUCCUACGGGAGGGCGCAGUAGGGAAUCUGCCGCAAUGGGCGAAAGCCUGACGGAGCAACGCCGCGUGAGUGAUGACGGUGCUCGGAUCGUAAAACUCUGUUAUGAGGGAAGAACAAAUGUGUAAGUAACUAUGCACGUCUUGACGGUACCUAAUCAGAAAGCCACGGCUAACUACGUG
rnacentral:rRNA from 1 species